rnacentral:rRNA from 1 species
UACGUAGGGACCGAGCGUUGUCCGGAAUCAUUGGGCGUAAAGAGCGUGUAGGCGGCUAUUUAAGUCCUGCGUGAAAUCCUGCGGCUCAACCGCAGACGGUCGUGGGAAACUGGAUGGCUAGAGUGCGGGAGAGGAGAGUGGAAUUCCCGGUGUAGCGGUGAAAUGCGCAGAUAUCGGGAGGAACACCGGUGGCGAAGGCGGUUCUCUGGGCCUGUACUGACGCUGAGGAGCGAAAGCGUGGGGAGCGAACAGG